GAAGGUAUAGCUCAGUGGUGGAGCACAAGCCUAGCACGCAUUAAGUCCUGGGUUCAGUCCCCAGGACCUGCA
rfam:Camelus ferus unplaced genomic scaffold scaffold1156, whole genome shotgun sequence.